UACGGAGGGGGCUAGCGUUAUUCGGAAUUACUGGGCGUAAAGCGCACGUAGGCGGACUGGAAAGUCAGAGGUGAAAUCCCAGGGCUCAUCCUUGGAACUGCCUUUGAAACUCCCAGUCUUGAGGUCGAGAGAGGUGAGUGGAAUUCCGAGUGUAGAGGUGAAAUUCGUAGAUAUUCGGAGGAACACCAGUGGCGAAGGCGGCUCACUGGCUCGAUACUGACGCUGAGGUGCGAAAGCGUGGGGAGCAAACAGG
rnacentral:rRNA from 1 species